UUGCCACAGGAGGGAGAGGGAGUGUAUGAGCGUGAGUGAGAGAAAGAAAAAGAGAAGCAGGAAAAUGCAGAAGAGGAGCAGCUCCUGAAUGAGACCUUGAAGGAGCACCCAGUAAGGACCCCUGCCUCAUUCAGUGCAAAGGAUGGAGCGUGCUCACUGAAUGGAGUGCUACUGGGCAGCAGUUUCUUUUGACUGAUUGAGUCAGUGAUGGCUGGAUUGCUUAAGGAGGCUGAGAGCUGUAAUGUAUACACCAUAGUCUGAAAGUGUCCAUGGUCAUCAACAUUCGGAGGAACUCCAUUUUCUGUACUCAGCAGUCUCGGAUGAUGACCCAGCACAUGUUGUUUGAUUUCCGAACACCGUCUGCAGAUUUGACAAAAAGCAAAGAAAGUACCAAUGUGAGAUUUCUAAAAAUAGCUACAGCACUGAACCCAAGAUUUAAGAAUCUGAAGUGCCUUCCAAAAUCUGAGCGGGACGAGGUGUGGAGCAUGCUUUCAGAAGUCUUAAAAGAGCAACAUUUUGAUGCAGAAACUACAGAACCCGAACCACCAAAAAAGAAAAUCAACCUUCUGCUGGUGGCAUCUGACUCACAUGAUGAAAAUGAACCUGUGUCAAUUCUCACUGCUUUAGAUCAUUAUCGAGCAAGUUGGGUAUAAGCGCUGCCUCCCAAAUACAUUUUAAGAAUAUAUUUUCUGCACACACAUAUAACUCUGUACACAACCUACACAUACCUCAUGUAAUGAUUUUUGGGACCAGUAUGUCACCAGUUUAUAUAUGGUACCUUACACGACACCUUUCAGGUACAGAUUAUGAGAACAGGGUUCUGGGGGUGGGGGCAAUGAGUGAGUCAGGUCUGAUAUGAGUUACAGUAUGGUGGGCUCUCUGCCAGUUGGCAUUGAGGGGCUCUUAGAGUUACAGGGAUAUCUGCUGCAAUUUAACUGUGAGAUAGUGGGCCACAUUCUAUGCUGACAUAACUCAUAUCUCAGUUGUUCUGGUAUAAAGCUGGAGAAACUCUACUGACACUGACCUUUUCACCCUAUUGUGACUGUCCGUGGAAAAGCCAUUCUUGACCAUCAGUUCCUUUCCAAAUCUAAAGGAAUCACCUCCUCAUUGAUUCUCCUUCCUUUCCCUUUGCUGCCUCUGAUGUUCAUUGGAGUUGGUCUAGAUUUACACUGGUAUAACUGAGAUCAGAAUUUUGCACCUGGCCUCUGAAGGCCAGUGGAAGGGGAAGGUCAGAAGAAAUUUCAGAAUUAGAGAAGUAUUAUUGAAGAGAAGUAUUAUUAAAUACUCCCAGAGAAGUAUUAUUAAAUUUAUUUAGUUGUUUUUUUUACUUCAAAUGACCUAUUUACUGCCAAAUUAUCUCUGAAAAUGUCUGCUUGAAAGUACCAGACACCAGUACAUCACAGAACCAUAAAAUCAGAGACUUAAAAGACACAUUAGUCCAUCUUCCUGACAGUGCAAGAUAGAUUAAUAGAUUUUAAAGCCUGAAGGGACAAUUAUGAUAAUCUAGUCUGUCCUCCUGCAUGUGUCCAUAGAAUUUCACCAGAUGAUGCCUGAAGUGGAGGGAAUUAUUCUUCCUUGCUCUGUAAUUGAACACUAUCAUACGUAGGGCCCUACCAAAUUCAUGGUCCAUUUUGGUCAAUUUCACGGUCAUAGGAUUUAAAAAAAUAGUCCAUUUCAGGGUUUCAGAUAUUUAUAUCUGAAAUUUCACAGUGUUGUAACCGUGGGGGUCCUGACCCAAAAGGCGGUCAUGGGAGAGUCACAAGGCUAUUGUAGGGGGAUUGUGGGAUUGCCACCCUUAUUUCUGCGCUGCUGCUGGCAGGGGCACUGCCUUCAGAGCUUGGUAGCCAGAGAGCAGCAGCUGCUGGCCGGGAGCCCAGCUCUAAAGCCAAUGCCGCCGCCAACAGCAGCGCCGAAGUGAGGGUCUCAGGAUCUGGAGGGUGGGUUACUAUAUGUCCAGGUUUUCCCGGCAGCUUCUCCGCCCAGGUCAGGGGCUGACAGCUGGUGCUGCAGCCUCUCCACUUGGGUCAGGGGCUGAGAGCCACCCUCCCUUCUGCCCUACCUUCAGAGUUGGGCUUGCAGCCAGCAGCUCUGGAGCUUCCUGCAGCAGGGGGAGAUUUCCAGAGGUGGGUCUGACCUAGCUCCAGGAGCAGCCCCUGCAGGGGAAGAGGAAGUCCUAUCCCUCCCCAGCCCGGGCCAGGACUAGCAGCUGGAGCCCAGCACAUGGUAGGAGCCUCCAGCUGGGGUGCCUCCAGACCGACCCCUCUCUAACAAUAGCCAGAUUUUAUGGGGGAGAUCAGAUUUCAUGGUCCGUGACGUGUUUUUCACGGCCGUGAAUUUGGUAGGGCCCUAAUCAUACCCAAUAACUUAUUGUUCAAUUGUUUGCAUUUUAGGUAUGAUAGGGCUUCUGUUCCUUCUCUUGGAAGACUAAAGAAAUUGUCAGACAGAUAUCACCAUUUGUCACUUUUCCCCAGCAUGCUAAGGACCAUAUUCUUUUACUCACUUUUAUCCUACCACUCCCAGCUGAGCUCUGUUGGACUCAUCUGAACACAAUGUAUACAUUUAAAAUAUCCAGCUCCCCUCCCCCAAACCCCAAAUGCUACAAAAACAAAACACUACACUGCACACACACUUCUCCCUUAGGGAGAAAAUGAGAGAAAGAGAAUGAAUCACACGUGACAGAUGUUAAUUACAUUAUUUAAAACGCUACCAGAAUAUGCCCAGAUGCUACGGUGGUGAGACUGUAAAAGAAUGUAUAUAAGAAUACACACAAAAACUAUAUUAAAAGAACAUUAAGGUGAAGCACUCAGCAGUUAGGAAAUGCCAGAAUUAAGGCUGUCUGUGCAACUUUAAUCCACCCACCCCUUGUGUGUAUGCAUUGAAGGUAUACAGGGGGAUUUCAGGAAGAGAAAGGAUGGUCUCAUGGUCAAGGCUGUUGAAUGAUACCCCGGAGAACUGGAUUCUAAUCCUGCCUCUGCCACAAAGUUCCUAUGUGGUGCUGGAGGAAAAGGAUUUAAAGACCCAACAUAAAAAAGAGACUGCCUUUCUGUGGUUUGGGAGCAGCCGCUUGAUGUGAAAUAAUCUUGAAGAUGAGGUCCAACGUUUUCUUUUGAAGUAGGUUGACAAUGCAACAAGUUGCUGUUGUGGACGGAGACAAGAAAAGCAGGCAUAAAAGAAGAGACGGGACGUGGAGGCUAAGUGGGCAGUUGCCAUUUUGGAUCAGUUUGGCCCUUGGAGAUGUUCCAUGCAAUGUGGGAGAAUGUGUGAAGACUGGUGUGGGCUUGGCUGGUGGCUUGUCAAGACUGUCAGCGUUGGUGGAGUUGGGGAGCAAGAGAUGUGAAAAGAAACAAGCACAGAUAGACACAGAUAGCCUGGUGGCUAGGACAAGAAAGUAGGAGUCAGAAUUCCUGGGAUAUAUUCCUGCUACGGAGUGUCUGGGUACCCUUGGACAAGUCACUCUACCCUUCCAAGCCUCAGUUUGGGGGAGGGAGGGAUAGCUCAGUGGUUUGAGCAUUGGCCUGCUAAACCCAGGGUUGUGAGUUCAAUCCUUGAGGGGGCCAUUUAGGGAUCUGGGGCAACUGUGGGGGAUUGGUCCUGCUUUGAGCAGGGGGUUGGAUGACCUCCUGAGGUCCCUUCCAACCCUGAUAUUCUAUGAUUUACUCAUCUAGAAAAACGGGUGUGACAAUAUUUGUGUUUCAGAGUAGCAGCUGUGUUAGUCUGUAUCCGCAAAAAGAACAGGAGGAGGUGUGGCACCUUAGAGACUAACGAAUUUAUUAGAGCAUAAGCUUUCGUGGGCUACAGCUCACUUCAUGGAAUGCAUAGAAUGGAACAUAGAGUAAAAAGAUAGAUACAUACAGAGAGGCUAUGUGCCCGCAACUACCACUGAAGUCUCUGGGAGAGGAAGGUGCUCAAUACCUUCCAGGAACUCAGAGUCUCCAAUGAUUAGGCCCACCAAAGGAGCUAGGACAAUAGAAACUUGGUCUACUGCACUGAUGGCCCCAGUCCUGCAAAUUCUUAGUCUUGUGAAUAAUCCUUAAUUAGACUGCAAGCUCUUUGGGUCAGGGGCUGUCAUCUGGUUCUGUGUGUGUUACAGCUCCUAGCACAAUGGGGGUCCUGCUCUAUGCCUGGGGCUCCUAAACACUAUUGCAAUACAAAUAAUCAAUAACAUUAGUCAGAAUAAUCCCAUUGACUUCAGUGGGGGUAGUCCAAUGAGUAAGGGUUUGCAGGAUGGGGUUCCAUGACUGAGAGUGAGUAUGGGUGUACCUGAUUGAGCAGGACUCUGCACAGGGGAACCCGAAGAUACAAUGCAGUAGGGAAUGAAGCAGUUUAGAAUGAACUGAACUCGGUGCAGGGGCCACCGUAGUCUUCUGUUGUGGUGAAUAAAUACUGUUAAAUCUGGGCCUCUGCAUGGUAUCUUUCUCAGCUAAUCCAUUUCCAACAAUUACACCCAGGAAGCUGACUUCCUAGGAGCUCAUGCUCACGCUCACGUUGUAAUGAGCUGCCUGUCACCUGCUACAGAACCCAGAGUGGGACAUGUCUGGCCAGCAGAUAUGUUUACACUGGAAGAAGCUAUGGCUCAGUGAGCCUCUACAGUGUUCACUCUGACAACAAUCACACCAAUCGGCAAACUGUGGGCAAGCUAUUUUUUAAGGUUAAAUUUAAUUUUAAUGUUUAAUUUUCCCAAGUUAGGCCUUUUUUCAUUUUAAGAUAAAUAUCCUGUUCCAUCUUAAAGGCAGAUGAGUUAAGGGGUGAUUCAUUUGCUCAGGUAGUGCAGGAGGGAUCUUCA